UACGAAGGGGGCUAGCGUUGUUCGGAAUUACUGGGCGUAAAGCGCACGUAGGCGGACUACUAAGUCAGGGGUGAAAUCCCGGGGCUCAACCCCGGAACUGCCUUUGAUACUGAUAGUCUCGAGUCCGGAAGAGGUGAGUGGAAUUCCGAGUGUAGAGGUGAAAUUCGUAGAUAUUCGGAGGAACACCAGUGGCGAAGGCGGCUCACUGGUCCGGUACUGACGCUGAGGUGCGAAAGCGUGGGGAGCAACAGG
rnacentral:rRNA from 1 species